rnacentral:tRNA from 3 species
AAGGUCUUGGCUUAAUUAAAGUGUCUGAGUUGCAUUCAGAAGAUGUGGGGUUGAGUCCUGCAGGUCUUA